UUACUGGCAAGGCGCAUACAAUCGACGUUGACCUGCAUCAGUACUGGGCAACUGUGGCACCUCUGGAGCCUGGGUCAGAACUGCCUGCGCUGAAUGCCAGCACCUACGUGCGCGCCGGCACUACCUUGGUGAAACGCGUGAAGGUCCCACAGCCACAGGGCGUGCUGCUAUCGUCGACGCGACUGACAGGUAUCAAUGGCACAAGCGCCUGCAAUUCGGAUCGCAAGACGUGUGUCGCAAUGCAGGUCAGGACCGGCGAGGACGCCGUUGUCUUCUUUCUCAAUCACCAGGUCAACCACGGCCUGGUGCGCUUGUCGGGGCCCCGCUGCAGGCCGCAAACUGACGCACGAGUUGUUCGGGCUCACGAAACGACCAGCCAACUGCUUCCUCUCUUUGCACUGCUGCCGGACGCGGCAUCGAGAUCGACUGAAUGGUCU
rnacentral:rRNA from 1 species